GGUUAAGCGACUAAGCGUACACGGUGGAUGCCCUGGCAGUCAGAGGCGAUGAAGGACGUGCUAAUCUGCGAUAAGCGUCGGUAAGGUGAUAUGAACCGUUAUAACCGGCGAUUUCCGAAUGGGGAAACCCAGUGUGUUUCGACACACUAUCAUUAACUGAAUCCAUAGGUUAAUGAGGCGAACCGGGGGAACUGAAACAUCUAAGUACCCCGAGGAAAAGAAAUCAACCGAGAUUCCCCCAGUAGCGGCGAGCGAACGGGGAGCAGCCCAGAGCCUGAAUCAGUGUGUGUGUUAGUGGAAGCGUCUGGAAAGGCGCGCGAUACAGGGUGACAGCCCCGUACACAAAAAUGCACAUGCUGUGAGCUCGAUGAGUAGGGCGGGACACGUGGUAUCCUGUCUGAAUAUGGGGGGACCAUCCUCCAAGGCUAAAUACUCCUGACUGACCGAUAGUGAACCAGUACCGUGAGGGAAAGGCGAAAAGAACCCCGGCGAGGGGAGUGAAAAAGAACCUGAAACCGUGUACGUACAAGCAGUGGGAGCACGCUUAGGCGUGUGACUGCGUACCUUUUGUAUAAUGGGUCAGCGACUUAUAUUCUGUAGCAAGGUUAACCGAAUAGGGGAGCCGAAGGGAAACCGAGUCUUAACUGGGCGUUAAGUUGCAGGGUAUAGACCCGAAACCCGGUGAUCUAGCCAUGGGCAGGUUGAAGGUUGGGUAACACUAACUGGAGGACCGAACCGACUAAUGUUGAAAAAUUAGCGGAUGACUUGUGGCUGGGGGUGAAAGGCCAAUCAAACCGGGAGAUAGCUGGUUCUCCCCGAAAGCUAUUUAGGUAGCGCCUCGUGAAUUCAUCUCCGGGGGUAGAGCACUGUUUCGGCAAGGGGGUCAUCCCGACUUACCAACCCGAUGCAAACUGCGAAUACCGGAGAAUGUUAUCACGGGAGACACACGGCGGGUGCUAACGUCCGUCGUGAAGAGGGAAACAACCCAGACCGCCAGCUAAGGUCCCAAAGUCAUGGUUAAGUGGGAAACGAUGUGGGAAGGCCCAGACAGCCAGGAUGUUGGCUUAGAAGCAGCCAUCAUUUAAAGAAAGCGUAAUAGCUCACUGGUCGAGUCGGCCUGCGCGGAAGAUGUAACGGGGCUAAACCAUGCACCGAAGCUGCGGCAGCGACGCUUAUGCGUUGUUGGGUAGGGGAGCGUUCUGUAAGCCUGCGAAGGUGUGCUGUGAGGCAUGCUGGAGGUAUCAGAAGUGCGAAUGCUGACAUAAGUAACGAUAAAGCGGGUGAAAAGCCCGCUCGCCGGAAGACCAAGGGUUCCUGUCCAACGUUAAUCGGGGCAGGGUGAGUCGACCCCUAAGGCGAGGCCGAAAGGCGUAGUCGAUGGGAAACAGGUUAAUAUUCCUGUACUUGGUGUUACUGCGAAGGGGGGACGGAGAAGGCUAUGUUGGCCGGGCGACGGUUGUCCCGGUUUAAGCGUGUAGGCUGGUUUUCCAGGCAAAUCCGGAAAAUCAAGGCUGAGGCGUGAUGACGAGGCACUACGGUGCUGAAGCAACAAAUGCCCUGCUUCCAGGAAAAGCCUCUAAGCAUCAGGUAACAUCAAAUCGUACCCCAAACCGACACAGGUGGUCAGGUAGAGAAUACCAAGGCGCUUGAGAGAACUCGGGUGAAGGAACUAGGCAAAAUGGUGCCGUAACUUCGGGAGAAGGCACGCUGAUAUGUAGGUGAAGUCCCUCGCGGAUGGAGCUGAAAUCAGUCGAAGAUACCAGCUGGCUGCAACUGUUUAUUAAAAACACAGCACUGUGCAAACACGAAAGUGGACGUAUACGGUGUGACGCCUGCCCGGUGCCGGAAGGUUAAUUGAUGGGGUCAGCGCAAGCGAAGCUCUUGAUCGAAGCCCCGGUAAACGGCGGCCGUAACUAUAACGGUCCUAAGGUAGCGAAAUUCCUUGUCGGGUAAGUUCCGACCUGCACGAAUGGCGUAAUGAUGGCCAGGCUGUCUCCACCCGAGACUCAGUGAAAUUGAACUCGCUGUGAAGAUGCAGUGUACCCGCGGCAAGACGGAAAGACCCCGUGAACCUUUACUAUAGCUUGACACUGAACAUUGAGCCUUGAUGUGUAGGAUAGGUGGGAGGCUUUGAAGUGUGGACGCCAGUCUGCAUGGAGCCGGCCUUGAAAUACCACCCUUUAAUGUUUGAUGUUCUAACGUGGACCCGUAAUCCGGGUUGCGGACAGUGUCUGGUGGGUAGUUUGACUGGGGCGGUCUCCUCCUAAAGAGUAACGGAGGAGCACGAAGGUUGGCUAAUCCUGGUCGGACAUCAGGAGGUUAGUGCAAUGGCAUAAGCCAGCUUGACUGCGAGCGUGACGGCGCGAGCAGGUGCGAAAGCAGGUCAUAGUGAUCCGGUGGUUCUGAAUGGAAGGGCCAUCGCUCAACGGAUAAAAGGUACUCCGGGGAUAACAGGCUGAUACCGCCCAAGAGUUCAUAUCGACGGCGGUGUUUGGCACCUCGAUGUCGGCUCAUCACAUCCUGGGGCUGAAGUAGGUCCCAAGGGUAUGGCUGUUCGCCAUUUAAAGUGGUACGCGAGCUGGGUUUAGAACGUCGUGAGACAGUUCGGUCCCUAUCUGCCGUGGGCGCUGGAGAACUGAGGGGGGCUGCUCCUAGUACGAGAGGACCGGAGUGGACGCAUCACUGGUGUUCGGGUUGUCAUGCCAAUGGCACUGCCCGGUAGCUAAAUGCGGAAGAGAUAAGUGCUGAAAGCAUCUAAGCACGAAACUUGCCCCGAGAUGAGUUCUCCCUGACUCCUUGAGAGUCCUGAAGGAACGUUGAAGACGACGACGUUGAUAGGCCGGGUGUGUAAGCGCAGCGAUGCGUUGAGCUAACCGGUACUAAUGAACCGUGAGGCUUAACCUU
rnacentral:rRNA from 1 species